rnacentral:tRNA from 1 species
CAAAUUAGAGCUUGAAUAAAGUUUUUUAUUUACAUUAAAAAGAUAAUUAUUAUAAUAAUUUAAUUU